UACGUAGGGGGCAAGCGUUGUCCGGAUUUAUUGGGCGUAAAGAGCGUGUAGGCGGCCCGACAGGUCCGUUGUGAAAACUCGAGGCUCAACCUCGAGACGUCGAUGGAAACCGUCGGGCUAGAGUCCGGAAGAGGAGAGUGGAAUUCCUGGUGUAGCGGUGAAAUGCGCAGAUAUCAGGAGGAACACCCGUGGCGAAAGCGGCUCUCUGGAACGCAACUGACGCUGAGACGCGAAAGCGUGGGGAGCAAACAGG
rnacentral:rRNA from 1 species